GGCCCGCGCCCGAACGCAGGCAGUGCGCAGGGCGCGGCGGUGGAUGCGGCCGCGCCUGAAGUCUCAGUACUGAUUUCGUUGUAGCCAAGAAUGGGAUUCGUGCGGUUCACUGGGCCAACUAGGGGAAAAGCCUGCUUUGGCCCUGGCGAGUGUGGGCGCUGGCGUCCUUCCUCUUCGGGGCGCAAGGUCAGAGUGGGCCUAAGCCAAGGGUCGUUCUUACGUUAAUUUUUUCUACUUUCUGACGCAAGAUCUGUUACAGAAACCCAAAGAAGCUAUAGAAAACACAAAGUUUAGAAGUAUAUCUACUUGUUUUAAUGGGACUCAAAAAAAAAAACUCUGCUAAAAAAGAAGUUUUGAAAGAUGCUAAGAACAUGGCCAAGGAUGUAAAUGAUGCCCUUGUGGAAAUAAUAAGCCAAGAGGCUGGAGUUAAUAAACUAGAAGCGAUGAAAACGUUGGCUACUUUAAAAGAAGAAAGGCGCUAUCUUCAGGAUAUCUGGUCAUAAAAUUAGAAAAUAAAGAGAAUUAAUUUUUUUUUUUGCCCAAGCCGCCCCUCCCUGAGCCGCCCGUCGCUGCAGGCCCUGAGCGGGGAGCAGCCCUCACUCCUGCGCCAGCCCCUCCAGAGGCCGCCUCUGCGUGCUGGGGACCUCACCGAGACCGCAGCCAGCUCAUGGGAGUCUGUCCGUGUGGAGGCUUCUCGAUACUGGGCUGGGCGCUAGUUAACCCAGGCAGAGUGAAACCUGGUGAACUCAUGUUGCCAGUUUUUAAUAAUGUAAAAAAAUUAUUCUUAUAUGAAAUAUACCCUAAAGAAUAUUCAUAUUUAUGUAUUAAAAUUACACAUGUAUAGCAUAUCUGUUUAUGUAACUUUAUCAAAUGAUUAAUUAUUACCAAAACUAUUUUUCUGAUAAAAAAUAUUUUAAGGUAAUGCUUAUAGGGAUUAUUUUUUUGAUGGUAGAAAUGUGAAAUAUAUUUUGAAAUUCAUUUGGGCAUAUGAUUUACUCAUCACAGUUGCGUUUAGCAUCACAGUUCCGGGAUUUAGGGGAAUUUGCGUCCACUGCUCAGCUGCGAACAAACACAGGUUUUAGUGCAGCUCCAUGGUUUUCUCUCCCCCGCUCCCCGCCCCGCCCCCCAGUCUUUUCAUUUCUCCUUUCGGCAUAUUUUUUAGUAUUUCUAUAUAGUUUAUCUCACCCCCAUGAUAAUACUCAGACUGUAUUCUAGGCUUAAAAUGCCUAAUUAAAUUAAUAUCCUUGUAUUUUUGAAUUCCUACUAUGGUCUGAAUACUUAUAUUCCCCAAAUUCAUAUGUUCAGUCCCCCCCCCACCCCGCUUUGAUGACAUCAGAAGGCGGGGCCUCGGCAGGUAAUUAGGUCAUGACCAUGGAGCCCUUGCUCCCCCUGCCCGGUGAGGACACAGCCAGCAGCCUGCAGCCCGCAGCCCGCAGCCUGGAAGAGGCCUUUACCAGACACCGCCUGGCCUCGGAACCCCAGCCUCCAGAACCGUGAGAAAUGAGUUUCUGACCUGUCACAGCAACUGGAAAGAGAAAGACAGUUCUCAGUGACAAAUUCUCUUAAAAGUUAUCAAAACAAAAGAAAAUGUAAGAGGGUUUGAUAACUUUUCUGCUAGGCUCUAGUAUAUAUUGGGUGUUUAUUUGAAUUUGGCAUUUAAAACUGCGUGUCAAAGGCUUCUGAUCUUUUUGAAUAAUAAAACUCUGAAGGAAAUAUAAUCUCACA